CACACACACACACACACACACACACACAUACACACCAGGCCAUGAUUGAAAACAGGCCAAACUUCCAAGGUAAACAGAAUCCCUUUACCACAGAGCUUACCCUGAGGUCUCAUGGCUCUGAGAGGUACACUUAAACCAGGAGACAACACAGAAGCAAGAUCCAGCUCUGGGAAUUGAUGGACUUUUUUCCCUCUCUGCAUCCCUGCACCUCCUGGGAGGAGAGGCAUUGGACCCCAGAGUUGGCACCUAUAUCCAGAUUCCACGAAGAAGGAAGGGCAGGGGCCAGCUGGGACCGAGAAGAGCAAAGCAGACUCGGCAGCCUAAAGAAGCAGGCCUUUCCAAGCACAGCCAGCCAGCCCCAGACAGUGUUCUAACGUGGCCUGCCUACAGGGACAUAGCAGCAAGGCAUCUUCUUGGAAGCUGAGAGCAGCCUUCAGCAGACAUCGAAACUGCCGGCCCCUUAUCUUGGACUCCUCAGCCUCCAGAACUGUGAGAACAUGCAUUUCUGUUCUUGAAAACUUA